CAAAGCUGCAACUUUUGAAGGCAGAAUAGCUUACAGUAUCUCCUACUUACAGUCCAGAUCCUGGCCACAUUUUAAAGGUGCAAAGCUAGCUACUGCCUGCCUUUUAGACAAAGCAUCCUUCAGAUGGCUGAGGGUCUUUCGAUGGAGGUAGUGUGGAGUAGCUGCUGGCCCUGACACGGAGCAGGAGGGAGAGGAACUGAAGCGUCUGAAAACGCUUUUGAAGCAGGAGGUGCUAGGCUUCAUCUACUGCUUUUUAAGAAGGGAGUGGUUAUUUCUGGCACUUUUCCUAGGUCUAAUCAAUACAGCGUGGUAACAGUGACUGAGUGUCAGAGAAUCUGCUCAGAAUCUGCUCAUCAUCCUUUGAUUUACCUGCUGUGGUUUGAUGCCUGCUGUAACUUCUGAAUACUCUUAUUGAGGCACCUUAUUCUUAUGCAACAUUAACUUGCAGUACUAGAAAAAGACUCAUCGAUGAUACUUUCUUGCUUAAUUUCAGUACUUUAUUCUUCACUGGUAAAUUUGGUCUACUUUUUAAUUGAAAGGAUCUUAGCUUGGAGUAAAUGAACUUUUAUGGAUUCCUUAUGAGCGUAUAGUGUGUAU
rnacentral:lncRNA from 1 species